rnacentral:rRNA from 1 species
GAUGAACGCUGGCGGCGUGCCUAAUACAUGCAAGUCGAGCGAACGGACGAGAAGCUUGCUUCUCUGAUGUUAGCGGCGGACGGGUGAGUAACACGUGGAUAACCUACCUAUAAGACUGGGAUAACCUCGGGAAACCGGAGCUAAUACCGGAUAAUAUUUUGAACCGCAUGGUUCAAAAGUGAAAGACGGUCUUGCUGUCACUUAUAGAUGGAUCCGCGCUGCAUUAGCUAGUUGGUAAGGUAACGGCUUACCAAGGCAACGAUGCAUAGCCGACCUGAGAGGGUGAUCGGCCACACUGGAACUGAGACACGGUCCAGACUCCUACGGGAGGCAGCAGUAGGGAAUCUUCCGCAAUGGGCGAAAGCCUGACGGAGCAACGCCGCGUGAGUGAUGAAGGUCUUCGGAUCGUAAAACUCUGUUAUUAGGGAAGAACAUAUGUGUAAGUAACUGUGCACAUCUUGACGGUACCUAAUCAGAAAGCCACGGCUAACUACGU